rnacentral:rRNA from 1 species
UCAGUUAUAGUUUAUUUAUGAAGAAAUACUAAUUGGGAUAACCGUAGUAAUUUCUAGAGCUAAUACAUGUAUAAAGUCUUGUAGACUGGCAUUUUUUUAGAAUGAAAACCAUAGGUUUCGGCCUAUUCGUGAGUAAUAAUAACUAAUCCAUAUCGUAUGCUUAUGUAACGAUGUGUCUUUCAAGUUUCUGCCCUAUCAGCCUUUCGAUGGUAGUGUAUUGGACUACCAUGGCAGUAACGGGUAACGAAGAAUUUGGGUUCGAUUUCGGAGAGGGAGCCUGAGAGAUGGCUCCCACAUCCAAGGAAGGCAGCAGGCGCGUAAAUUACCCAAUCCUCACACAGGGAGGUAGUGACAAUAAAUCACAAUGCGGAACAAUGUUUUGCAAUUGGAU